ensembl:ncRNA lncRNA:CR44783 long non-coding RNA:CR44783
CCAUUUGAUGACGAUUGCGGCUGGGUUGGGCAACAGAUUUCCCAUCCAAUUCAUAUCAAUUUGUCAACUGCGACAAAUAAACUAUACAUACAGCGACCUCUGCUGCAACCCCACCGCCCCAUGCAGUGAACCCCAAUGACCUUGCCCACAGGAUAUGCCAUGGAACUCUGAACUUGUAAGCAGAUCAAGGCACGUAGACGAACCUGAGCACACAUGUCCACCACGGAAUCGGGGGGAAGCAGGGUAGCUUUGGAUGGCUACUUCUGCGGCAGUCAGCAAAACUAUUCCUCAACUCGUGCGGACAGAGCAACGGAGGAGUAAGGAGCAUGGAGCACGGAGCACGGAGCUGGAUGAGGGACCAGACGCGGAGACAUUUUUUAUGGACGCCUUGGAUUGGCGGACGUGACGUUGAUUUGCUGGCAACGCCUUGGAGGUGACACCCACCCAGGCCGAGGACGAGAACGACAAGGACUUGGAGUCCGAUUCGGAUCCAGUCCUCUGGAGCAGACGUCAUAAAAUGUCGCAAGAUUUGGCUAACAGAAAAAUAAAUUGCUAGCUGUCCUGGCCCACAGUUCGAUUGCAGCUGUCACGGCCAUUUAGCUGUUUAGCGCCACAAAAUCUGGCCAAAUCCUUGAGAGACCCACUCUGCCAUCUAAUUGCGAAUGCAGCCAGCCAGCUGGGACUGCAGCUGGGUGGCAUGG